GUCAAAAUGUCUCACGUGCC
rnacentral:piRNA from 1 species